GCCCAGGUGGCGGAAUUGGCAGACGCGCCAGCUUGAGGGGCUGGUGCCCGCAAGGGCGUGGAGGUUCGAAUCCUCUCCUGGGCA
rnacentral:tRNA from 1 species